UAGGCUGCAACUCGCCUACAUGAAGUCGGAAUCGCCAGUAAUCGCGGAUCAGCAUGCCGCGGUGAAUACGUUCCCGGGCCUUGUACACACCGCCCGUCACACCAUGAGAGUUUGUAACACCCAAAGCCGGUGGGGUAACCUUUUGGAGCCAGCCGUCUAAGGGUGGGACAGGUGAUUGGGGUGAAGUCGUAACAAGGUACC
rnacentral:rRNA from 1 species